UGGAAGUAAAAAAUCGUAACAAGGUUUCCGUAGGUGAACCUGCGGAAGGAUCAUUAACAUUAAUUUACUACACACUGUUUUUUUACAACAAAACAAAUCUAUCUAAAAACAAUUCUUUACAAGAAAUUCUUAAAACUUUCAACAACGGAUCUCUUGGUUCUCGCAUCGAUGAAGAACGCAGCGAAAUGCGAUACGUAAUACGAAUCGCAGCUCUCGGAAUCAUCGAAUCUUUGAACGCACAUUGCACCAUUGGGUAUUCCCAAUGGUAUGCUUGUUUGAGCGAAUACUUCCCUAAUCCUCACGGAUUGUAUUGUGUUUGCACGAAAAUAAUGACGACAGUACUCUACAAAACGGUACCGUCAGUACACUCAUUUUUUUUCCUCAAAUCAAGUAGGACUACCCGCUGAACUUAAGCAUAUCAAAAUCGGGAGGAA
rnacentral:rRNA from 1 species